GACGUAGGGCGCGAGCGUUGUCCGGAUUUACUGGGCGUAAAGCGCGCGCAGGCGGCACUGUAAGUAAGGUGUGAAAUAUCCCUGCUCAACGGGGAGGGUGCACUUUAGACUGCAGAGCUAGAGGACGGUAGAGGGGGGUGGAAUUGCUGGUGUAGCGGUGAAAUGCGCAGAUAUCAGGAGGAACACCAGCGGCGAAGGCGGCGCUCUGGGCCGGUACUGACACUGAGGAGCGAAAGCGUGGGGAUCAAACAGG
rnacentral:rRNA from 1 species